rnacentral:lncRNA from 10 species
GCCAAGAUGUCCUGGGCUCCAUCAGACACUGAUGAUUCCAUUCCGUGUCAUGCUCACUCGAACCCUGCAAGAUUCCACCCUGACCUCAGCCCUGCUAAAUCCUGGCAACUUACCUGGGAGAUGCUACUUCCCGACUGUGUGUCCUUGAACAAGUCAUUCGAUCUCUCUCAUCUUCCGUUUUCUCAUCUGCAAAGAGUCGGCAAUGACUCAUUGGGUCAUUGUGAGAUGUGGCCGUGGGACUCCCCUGUCUGUGGAGGCUCUGUGGAACCUUCAAGGGUGGCCUGAAGGCUGCCGAGUGCAUGGACCAGAGUUGGUGAAAGGGUUGGCAAAUGAGCUUCUGUGGCACAUGAUCUUCAAGCGUGUGCAUCCGAGGUGUGAUCCAAGCAUGGAAGCUGGUGUUGCAGACAGACCAACGGUGGCACCGGGAUUCACACCUGCAUCAACUCUUGCCUUUGAGUGUGUGAAGGACCUCUGACUUCUAACCAAGAAAAGAUGGCAAAGGUGACUAGGAUACCACACACACACACAGGCACACAUACCCAUGUACAGACACACAUACAUGUAUAUACAUGACACUGUCUUGCUGGCAUGAACUAGAGAAAUUCUCCUCACUGAAGAAGCUACUGGGCACAUUAAAAAAGCCCACAGAGUCAGGAAAUUCAGGUAGCUUUCAGCCACCAGCCAGCAAAAAAAACUGUGGCCCUGAGCCAUGCAGCCACAAAGAGAUGAAUUCUGCCAACAGCCUGAGUGAGUUUGCAAGGGGAGUUUUCCCCAGUAGAGCCUCCAGAUGAAAUGCAGCCCACCCAUCUCCUUGAAUGCAGCCAACCAGACCCCCAGGAGAGGACUCAACUUAGUCACACCCAGACUCCUGACCGGCAAAAACCGCGAGAUGAGAAAUAUGUGUUAUGGGAAGCCACCAAGGUUGUGGUAAUUUGAGAUGUAGCAAUAGGAAGCCAAUACAGUCGGGGCAUAUGUGGGCUUGUGCUAGGUGUGUGGUCACCCUGGGGGUUAUAUGUCAGUGGGUGUGGAUUUAGAUGGCAUGUGCCUGAAUGUGUUUGUGUGUUUGAGCACGUGUCUGGGUGUGUGGAUGUUUGGGAAUGUGUGUGUGUGAUAGUGUGUGUUGGAGUGGCCAAGGGGUGCGAAUGGGUGUGCCGAUUAUUGACACAUGUACAGUGUACACGUCUAUGCAUGAGCAAGUGUGUGCACACACACGUGUGUGCAGUGCCCCUACUCCCCCAUCCUCUUUUAUGACUUCCUCCCUGGGUUUGAUGUUGUGGGUGAAUAAAAUUUAAAGAGCUCUAAAUUUUUUUUAAAGAGCCCUAAAGGGA